rnacentral:rRNA from 1 species
CCAGACUCCUACGGGAGGCAGCAGUGGGGAAUAUUGCACAAUGGGGGAAACCCUGAUGCAGCGACGCCGCGUGAGCGAUGAAGUAUUUCGGUAUGUAAAGCUCUAUCAGCAGGGAAGAAAAUGACGGUACCUGACUAAGAAGCCCCGGCUAACUACGUGCCAGCAGCCGCGGUAAUACGUAGGGGGCAAGCGUUAUCCGGAUUCACUGGGUGUAAAGGGAGCGUAGACGGCCAUGCAAGCCAGGGGUGAAAGCCCGGGGCCCAACCCCGGGACUGCCCUUGGAACUGCAUGGCUGGAGUGCGGGAGGGGCAGGCGGAAUUCCUGGUGUAGCGGUGAAAUGCGUAGAUAUCAGGAGGAACACCGGUGGCGAAGGCGGCUUACUGGACUGUAACUGACGUUGAGGCUCGAAAGCGUGGGGAGCAAACAGGAUUAGAUACCCGAGUA